UACAGAGGUCUCAAGCGUUGUUCGGAUUCAUUGGGCGUAAAGGGUGCGUAGGCGGCGCGGUAAGUCGGGUGUGAAAUCUCGGAGCUUAACUCCGAAGCUGCAUUCGAUACUGCCGUGCUUGAGGACUGGAGAGGAGACUGGAAUUCAUGGUGUAGCAGUGAAAUGCGUAGAGAUCAUGAGGAAGACCAGUGGCGAAGGCGGGUCUCUGGAACGCAACUGACGCUGAGACGCGAAAGCGUGGGGAGCAAACAGG
rnacentral:rRNA from 1 species